CCUACGGGGGGCUGCAGUCGAGAAUCUUCGGCAAUGGGCGCAAGCCUGACCGAGCGACGCCGCGUGGAGGACGAAGGCCUUCGGGUUGUAAACUCCUGUCGAGGGGGAGAAAGGCUCCGCGAGGGGCUUGAUCGAUCCCUGGAGGAAGCACGGGCUAAGUUCGUGCCAGCAGCCGCGGUAAGACGAACCGUGCGAACGUUAUUCGGAAUCACUGGGCUUAAAGCGCGUGUAGGCGGAUCGGAACGUCGAUGCCUGAAAUCCCCAGGCUCAACCGG
rnacentral:rRNA from 1 species